UACGUAGGGGGCUAGCGUUGUCCGGAAUCAUUGGGCGUAAAGCGCGUGUAGGCGGUUCGGUAAGUCCGCUGUGAAAGUCGGGGGCUCAACCCUCGAAAGCCGGUGGAUACUGUCGGGCUAGAGUACGGAAGAGGCGAGUGGAAUUCCUGGUGUAGCGGUGAAAUGCGCAGAUAUCAGGAGGAACACCUAUUGCGAAGGCAGCUCGCUGGGACGUUACUGACGCUGAGACGCGAAAGCGUGGGGAGCGAACAGG
rnacentral:rRNA from 1 species